rnacentral:rRNA from 1 species
UACGUAGGGAGCGAGCGUUGUCCGGAAUCAUUGGGCGUAAAGAGCGCGUAGGUGGAUCAAUUAGUCUGCUGUGAAAGUCAAAGGCUCAACCUUUUGAAAGCCGGUGGAUACUGUUGAUCUAGAGUACGGAAGAGGCGAGUGGAAUUCCUGGUGUAGCGGUGGAAUGCGCAGAUAUCAGGAGGAACACCAAUAGGCGAAGGCAGCUCGCUGGGACGUUACUGACACUGGAGGCG